CAAACUUAGAAAAGGCUCAAAUAUCAGGUCAACGGUCAAAAUUUACGCUCUCCUCAAUAAUAAGCUCAAAUUUUGCGAGCCCCAAUGUUUUUGUCUUCCCCGUUCACAUCCACUCACACAACCAACCACUCUUUUUUCUCCUAAAAAAAAAACUCUUCUAUGGCAUUCGAAUUAGAUAACUCAGACGGGUUCGAUCGUAUACCCGACCCGUUAAUCCACAUAAUCUUCAACCAACUCUCCGACAUCAAAACCCUAAUCCGUUGCCGUUCCGUUUCAAAACGUUUCAACUCAUUGGUCCCACAAGCCGAUUCCCUUCUCCUCCGGGUCGACCGGGUCAUAUCCGCAUCCGACGAUGACGACGAUUCCAUCCUUAUUGCUUUCCUCAGAUUCAUUAUCAAAUUCCUUUCACCAAACAAACCCUUACAAAACCCGACCCGAUCUCAAAACUCACCAGCACAGAUCUUACGGGAAUUCGAGAAGAUCCGGAAUCUACAAAUUGAGCUUCCUUCAGGUGAUCUUAGGUUAGAGAAAGGAACGAUUAUUAGAUGGAAAGCUGAAUUUGGGAAAACCCUAAAAAGUUGCGUGAUAUUAGGGUUUCGCGGCGGCGGUGGGGAUGGUGAGGUGGCGGAGUUAGGUGGUGGUGGUGGUUUGAAAAUGAGGGUAGUUUGGACAAUUAGCGCGUUGAUUGCUGCGUCAGCUAGGCAUUAUAUGAUGAUGGAAGUCGUAAACGAGCAUAAAGAGCUCGAAAACUUGUUAAUCAAGGACAGAGAAGAUGAAGGAAAAGUCGUAAUGGAUAAGAAAGGGUUGAGAGAAUGUAGAGAAUGUAGCGAAGUAAACAAUGGGAGUAGUGGUGUUGGUUUAUGGUGGAGGAGUAAUCGAACGACAGUGCCAGCUGUACGAAUGAGGAUGAGGCACGAAGCGAGGAUGGAAUUGUCCGGUGGGACGAAAAUGGUGGGAGCAACAUUGGUGGUUGUACGACCCAUUAAUGAGAGGAGUGAUGAGGUGGAGGAACAAAAUGGAGAUGUAGGAAUAGCGUUAGGGGCUUUUCGGGAAGAUCAAGUGUAUUGUGAAGCUGUCGAGAGGUUGCUUAAGAGUCGAAGUUAUAUUCUCGAGAUGAACUCUUUCUAGUAUCUUGUAAGGUCUUUCAUCGAAAUUGAAUUAGGAUUAUUAUCAUCUAGAAUUUUGCUCAGUCAUUUUGUAUAUAUUUGUCUCUAUUGUUAUUUGUACUGUUAUGUGUAAUUUGUACAAGUAAUUUAAGUCAUGGCAUUGCGCGCGUAAGAGAGAAGAGUCUGUUGCUUCUAUUUAAAGCCAUCGUCGUAAUCUAAGCUGGAAGUUUUAGGUAUUUGAGGCAGUGACAAUUGAAUUGGAAGUUUGUCUGAAGAUUACUUGCUCUCACCGUGCCAUUAAACUAUCUUGCCCUCUUUCUUUUGUUGCAUGUGUUGAAGUUUUAGGUAUUUUUGUUGUUGCUUAAGUCUCUUUUCAUUAGGACUAAUGUUCACUCUUGCUACUUAAAGGCAACGAGAAUGGAUAUUGAGGAUUCUAUGUCCGACCCAUUUGUGAUUGAGGAUAAUGAAUUGAAGAGACAUUUUUUCAAUGGAAUUUGUGCUGGCUAGAUGAUGAAGUACAUAUAGAAGAUACUGAUUGUUAAAUUUGUAGGUUUGAUUAACUUAUACCUGCUUAUUUGAGAUAGAGGAGUAGCAAGUUCUCAACACUUCGCUUCCAAUAUAAUGCAGCCUGUAAAGGGUUAAAAUGGCGACUAUUUGAAAUCUCGUAAAAAUGGGAAUGUAGGGAAGAAGCUGAGGUAAACAAUGGGAGUAGUAGGAAUGGGGUUGGUUUGUGGUGGCGGAGCAAUCGUACAACAGUCCCAGUUGGACGAAUGAGGACGAGGCACGAAGCGAGGAUGGAACUGUCCGGUGGGACGAGAAUGGUGGGAGCCCAUUGGUCGUUGUCCAACCGAUUAAUGAGAGGAUUGAUGAGCUGGAGGAACAAAAUGGAGAUGUAGAAAUAGCAUUUGGGGAAGAUGACGUAUAAUGUGAAGCUGUCGAGAGGUUGCGCAAGAGUCGAAGUUAUAUUCUCGAGAUGAACGCUUUCUAGUGUAAGUUAUAUGUGAUUUGUACAAGUCAUUUUAAGACAUGGCAUUGCGUGCGAAGGAAAGAAGAGUCUAUAUCUUCUACUGGUGUUUGGGGCGGUGAGAAUUGAACUGAAACUUUGUCUGGAUUA